UGGGGAGAAUGACCACCUGUUUACGGGGGCCAAAAACUCCGCCACGGCGGGAUGGAGAGCAAUACUACAAAAGAUUGGCCUGGAGGGGAAGGUCCAGCCCCACCAGGCCAAAAAAAAAUGGGACAAUUUAAAAAGAAAAUAUAAAGAUUGCAAAUAUCCAGGGACAGGAGAGGGGACCAG